UUUCAAUCAAUCAAAGUGUUGAUCAAUUUGCUCUUGUUCUUUUGGUUUGCACUAGGAUGCAAAAGGAAAAUAAUCCCAGUGCUUUCUGUCUAUCUCUGUGGUAUCCAGAUUGAAUAGGGAAGAAUAUCU
rnacentral:snoRNA from 1 species